CGCAUACUAGGGUUUUCCUUUAUAAACCCUGUCCCUCCAUAAGUGAAUCUCUGUUUCCCAAUCGUCGCUUCUUCGUCGUCGGAGGCUAUCAGAGAUUUGGUCGAAAGUAGUCAAGGAACUCACGCGACUCUCGAUUCAAAAUGAGAGCUAAGUGGAAGAAGAAGCGUAUGAGGAGGUUGAAGAGGAAGCGCCGAAAGAUGAGGCAGAGAUCCAAGUAGAUUUGCAGAUUCUCAUCUCUCGCAAUCGUUUCUCUUACUUUAAUUAAUUACUGCUGUUUUAGGAUUACUGUCUGGAAUGACUCAGUAACAUUAUUAUCGUAAUGUAUUUUAAUGAAUUUCUGCAUCGUGGAUUCGUCGAUAUUUUGAUAUGGAUUUUAUAGUUUUAUAAUCUAAAUGCUCAUGUUCUUCUA